GUGCAAAGAUCUAUGGUGCGUGGAAAUACUAUUGUAUGUAUAAUUAGUCUAAUUACAUCUUUCUAAAUUAGUCUACUAGAACUAACUUGUUACACCCUUUUGAGGUACAGCUCAUGGUAUACAAAAAAAAACUACUUUUAGUUUGCAUAAUCCUUAAAUUAUACCAAUCUGUCCUGCAAGCUUCAAUCCUUCAUUACUCAGUGCGAAAUUAGCUUCUCUGACAAUAUUGAAGCUGCACAUAUUCCAAAACCUUCAGCUUACCCCUUAAUGCUUUCAUUUACUGAUAUAAGAUUCCAAAUGGCGGGUCCGAUUUAACAUGGAUCUAAUUAGUUUUAGUUUCAGCACAUUCCUUUACUGAAAGGUGAUGCAAAAGCUGCUAUUAAUUCCAGUAUAUGAUCUAAUAACACCACCUCCUCCACGUAGUCCCCGGUUCCUGUUUGAGCUCCCAUCUGUGUUGGCCUUGAAUAGAGUCUAAGGAGGACGCGUCCAAUGCUAUAUUGCUCGGACUCUCCGAAAAUAUCAAUAGGUGCAUGUCGGAUUCUGCUUGGGUCUAAAUUUCGGAGCAAGCAGUGGGUGAGUGAGAGAUUGGCUGCAGGUUCAUAGUUUGGAGACCCAAGGUAGUCCUGUUGGCGUCCGCAAGCCCUGACGUCCCCUUCUACAUUUUUGUUUUUCUUUCCUAUCAAACAGAUGUAAUUUCUUUCAGACCAAUAUUUGUAGUAAUUCAUAGUAUGUUCGUGGAUUGUGACGAACUAUUCCUCAUCCAUAAAAUUCGAUCAAGUAGGGCUGUUGCUCUGGCAGACGAAGAAUACAGAGAUAUCAGGCAUACAAAUAAGAGGCAACUCCCAUAAAAACUUCCCAUAUGAGGCAACACCCUUAAAAAC
rnacentral:lncRNA from 1 species